GCAAGUCGAGCGACCCUUCGGGGGAGCGGCGAACGGCUGAGUAACACGUUGGAAUCUGCCCCAGACUCAGGGAUAACACCGAGAAAUCGGUGCUAAUACCGGAUAGUCUCGUAAGAGUAAAGCUUUUGCGGUCUGGGAGGAUCCUGCGGCAUAUCAGGUAGUAGGUAGGGUAACGGCCUACCUAGCCGAUGACGUGUAGCUGAUCUGAGAGGAUGAUC
rnacentral:rRNA from 1 species